GGGUCUUGGUUCGCCCAGUCAGGGGCAGGUUAGCUGGGGAGCUCCCACCUGAGCUUGUCGGCUGCAGAAGACGAGGGAGCAGUAGAACAAGCCGCUGCCCGUGUAUUCACCAGGUUGGGAACAGCAAGAGGAAAUGAUAAUGGAAUGAUGAAGUCAUCGUUCCUUCCACCAUGCAGCUGGUCAGUGUCCCGUUGGGUAAAAGGGUGCCUGUUGGAGACAGAUUUCACCCUGGCCAGAAGAAAAGUCCACAUAGCCCACACCUACUUGC